AUGCCGCUGCCAACCUAUCUAUCGCUGCUAAUCUAUCGCUGCUGCCAACCUAUCUACCGCUGCCAACCUACCUAUCGCUGCCAAUCUAUCUACCACUGCUAAUCUAUCGCUGCUAAUCUAUCGCUGCUAAUCUAUUGCUGCUAAUCUAUCUAUCACUGCUAAUCUAUCGCUGCCAACCUACCUACCGCUGCCAACCUAUCUACCACUGCCAAUCUACCUACCGCUGCCAACCUACCUACCACUGCUAAUCUAUCACUGCUAAUCUAUCGCUGCUAAUCUAUUGCUGCUAAUCUAUCGCUGCUAAUCUAUUGCUGCUAAUCUAUCUAUCACUGCUAAUCUAUCGCUGCCAACCUACCUACCGCUGCCAAUCUACCUACCGCUGCCAACCUACCUACCACUGCUAAUCUAUCACUGCUAAUCUAUCGCUGCUAAUCUAUUGCUGCUAAUCUAUCGCUGCUAAUCUAUUGCUGCUAAUCUAUCUAUCACUGCUAAUCUAUCGCUGCCAACCUACCUACCGCUGCCAACCUAUCUACCACUGCCAAUCUACCUACCGCUGCCAACCUACCUACCACUGCUAAUCUAUCACUGCUAAUCUAUCGCUGCUAAUCUAUUGCUGCUAAUCUAUCGCUGCUAAUCUAUUGCUGCUAAUCUAUCUAUCACUGCUAAUCUAUCGCUGCCAACCUACCUACCGCUGCCAACCUACCUACCGCUGCCAACCUACCUACCACUGCUAAUCUAUCACUGCUAAUCUAUCGCUGCCAACCUAUAUAGGGUAAAUCAUGGUCCCAUUUGGUCCCAUUUUGUAAAAUGGGACCAAAUGGGACUGGGACCACUAAUUUAUUAGUAAAACAUGAUCU
rnacentral:sRNA from 2 species